UACGAAGGGGGCGAGCGUUGUUCGGAUUUACUGGGCGUAAAGGGCGCGCAGGCGGCUUAUUUUGUCAGGCGUGAAAGCCCCGGGCUUAACCUGGGAACUGCGUUUGAUACGGAUGGUCUAGAGUUCGGGAGAGGAGAGUGGAAUUCCCAGUGUAGAGGUGAAAUUCGUAGAUAUUGGGAAGAACACCGGUGGCGAAGGCGGCUCUCUGGACCGAGACUGACGCUGAGGCGCGAAAGCGUGGGGAGCGAACAGG
rnacentral:rRNA from 1 species